AAGGUUGAUUAUUCUAUCGCGCCAAAGAUGCACCCCCGUCCCCGUCUCUCUCCUCUCCUCUUCUAUGCGACUAAAGGCUUGGAUUGGAUUCAAGGAGCCUUUCUUUGUUUUUAUCGUGGGCUAAAUCUUGGGCGGGUCACAGGGGAAGGCGGGUGAUCGGGGUUCCGUGGGGACUUGGGAGGGUUUAUCCCUCGAGUUGCUUGAAGGAGAAGAGUAGGGAGAGAGGGUGGCGCCGAUACGAGAAUCCGAUUCGGCGAGGGGUGGGGGGAGAGAAAGGCGGAGGAGUUUGAUUUCGAUGGAUUCGGUGGAAUCAUGUCGCACGACAACUGGGAAGCUGAUAAGAUGUGAGCUUUCUGCCUCUUUUCCAAGUAUUUCUUGCCUUUUUGUUUUUUUUUUUUGUUCAUGUAGCGUUGGAGCUCGCCCAGGAUGGGUUCUUUCUAAUGUUUGGUGUUUCUUGAUAAUUUCUCCCUUCGGAUAGGGCUCUCCUUGGUGUGGGUUGCCUUCUUUGGGGCGUUCUUGGGUAGGGUUUUGGAAAUUGGAAGAAUGCGAGCUUUCUUCGUUGACUAAUCCAUUCUGGAAUUCAGUGCUUUUUUUAACUUUUCAUGUGAGAAGCCUUUCUUUCUUGGCUCUGGUUUUAAUUUUGCACGACCGAUUUUUCCCAGGUUUGCUGCUGUUUACUGUUUCGUUCUUUUUAUGAUUGUUCUUGCCGAGUGUUCGUUUUUAUGGAUGGAUGACUUUUUCUUUUCUCGUUCUCCGAGUUUUUUUUGGUUCUACGUCUGCUUCUCUACACCCUCUUGCAUGCCAUGCCGCUAGACUUAUGUGCUGGAAGGUUUGUCUUCCGGGUUCUUUGGUAAUUUGAUUUUAGGUGUUUAAAUUUUGAAACUUUGUUUGCUGGUUUCGUUCUGUUGUUCCUUUAUAUAUUUAUUUAUUUGUUUGUUUAUUUAUUUUUUGGCUUUAUUUACCUUUUGUUAACUUUAUAUUAUUCUCUUGUGCUCUUGAAGCUGUAGGUUUUUUCCUAUAACUUUUUAUUGGAAGAUAAUUCUUUGUACUUUAUUCUUUUUUUUUUUUUUGUUAUUGAACUCCAAUUAGGUAGUAUUCCUAGUGGGCUCGAACUUGGAAGUUGUAAUACUGUAUUCUUUUUCGUGUGAGCCUGGUGACAGGCUGGAUGUGUCUAUUUAUGAUUAUUUCAUGAAGAGGCAUUUGCAUGCAUCUGCAAAAGCAUUUCAAGCGGAGGUAAGGGUAUCUUCAGAUCCUGUUGGUGAGUGGUAUGUGAAUUUUAAUAUGGGCAGAGGUGUUCAAGAUGCACUUAGGGUUUUAGGUUUCGACUUUUCCUGGUUUUAGUUUACUUUUGAUGCUAAAUACCAUUGUUUUUCAGCAAUUGAUGCUUUGGGUGGAUUUCUCUUUGAAUGGUGGUCCGUCUUUUGGGAUAUUUUUAUUCCAAGAACGAAUGAAAAGCACUCGGAUUAUCUUUUACAUGUUAGUGAAAUUUAUUUGCAUUACUUUAUCUGCUUUUACUUUGGAUACUAUGUCCUUUCUUGAGAAUUCUGAUUUCCUGCUUUAUUACUUGAAUUAUCUUGGGUCAAUGUCAAGUUUACUGAACUACAUUAAUUGGUUUCAUAGUAGACUUUCUGAUUUAGUAGAAUGCUUUUUGGUUCCUUCUAGUUUUUUGAUGUUUCACAAUGAAUAUUUUCAAUAUUAUGUCAAUUAUCAAGACUAUUUUUCUGACUAUGUAUCUCUCAUUUAUGGAUUUAAACUGAGGGUAGCCAGAAAUACUUUUUGAUGUUUAAGAUUGGGGUGUCAACCAUCAAUUUGGUCUUUAACUUAACCAAUAUUUAAUUCUGAAUCUAAGGAGCCCUAAUUUCUGGUAUCUCUUGGAAGCUCAACGUGCAGAAUUGAUCUCAACUUUAAAUUGCACCUGUAAGUUUCUUUUAGUUUAAGGUUGAAUUUGUGUUUAGUAGGUUUCUCUCAAUAAAAUUUGGCAAAGAUGGCUUCUUUUUUUUUUUUUAAUCUCUUGCUGAGAUAGAGACCCUAUUACAGUAUUAUCUAUACAAGUUGUGGUUUAUAAGGAAUGUCACUUGUAGUUGGGUGGUAUUUUUGGCCGACUCAACUAAUUAGAGCUCGAGAACAUCAGCAACAGAAACAGCAGCAGGAUCCUCAGCUGCAGUGGCAACAGAUUCAAAUGCAACAACUUCUGCUACAGAGGCAUCAGAAGCAACAGCAACAAAAUCAGCAGCCGUGUAGAGAAGGGACCCAUCUUCUAAAUGGUACACCAAAUGGGCUAGUUGCCACUGAUCCUUUAAUGCGACAGAACCCUGGAACUGCAAAUGCUUCCUGGAUCAACACAGGACAUCAAGGCUCAAAUGAAUCCUGCAUUGACUCCCAGGGGUGCAAGCCCUGAUGGAUCAUUAAUUGGAGCUCCAAGUGGUAACCAUGCACGGCCUAAUGAGGGUGGGAGCAAUUUGACAUUGAAAGGAUGGCCCCUCAUAUAGAAGAUAGCUCAGUGGCAAAAACAGCAGCAACAAAACAGCAGCCAGCUGAUGCAGCGGCAGCUUACUCAGCAUGCCUUAUUGAGUCAGCAGUCACAGAGUUGAAGUCACCAUCUUCACCAACAAGAUAAAAUGGGUGCUGCAAGUGUGACAAAGGAUGGAAGCUUGUCAAACUCCUUUUGAGGAGCUGAUCAGGUCUCUCGAAGUCUGGGAUAUGCGUGAGAGCAAGACUGUGGACUCUUCCAGCUCACGAGGGUAGCAUCUGCAAGUCAUGACGAGUUUUGUUAGAACUGUGGAAGUGAAUCCUGCUUCCAAGGAGAGCAUACAUCUGGUGUGUGCCCAGGGAGGCUAGCUCUGUUGGGGAUGAUUUGUUGUUGCAGCGCGGUCCAGCUAUGGUAAAAUAGGGUUGCUGGGUCUCUUUGCAAAUGCCUCGCUAAAUCUAGCAUCCUAAAGUUCAUUUGCCGCAUAGGUACUAACCAACAUCUCCGUUGGUGCCGCCGCCGCCGCCGCCGCCGCCGUUUCGUAUAGGACUUCUGGGGAUUAUAUUGUUUUAAUAGCGGUCGUUUUUCGUCAUAAAUUUCUUCUUUCUUGCCUGAGGUUCAUGCUUCGUUGCCUGCUGAAAUGCUUCAUAAUCGAUUGCUGGUUUCACGUUGAAAACUUUGCCAUUCUUGCUGGAUCGUGUGGGUGAUUAGCCAUUCUUGCCGGAUCCUGCGGACUGUUUGAGAGGCAUCUGUCAAUACGGGUCUAGAUCAUCCGACUUCUGUUGUUGUUUUCGCCAGGAUAGCUGAAAUUUAAGCAGCUCUAUUAUUCCUCAAAAUUGAUGAGGUAGAUGAGGAGGGCACUGGAAGAGUGGUCACGUUGUCGGUGUGAUGCGUUGCUCCAGGUUGCGAUCCGAACUGUCGGGCUCGAGUGCUGCAGAAACUCUUGAUCAUCGUCUGCAUGCUGAAUUUUCGAACCUUGAAAGCCUGUUGCUGGUUGUCGUAAGCUUUUCGGGUUGGUUGGUUUCUUAAGGUUCAUCUCCUGUCCCGCAGAAGCCCCAGGUACGUGAUCCUCAAUUUUUUUUAAUUAUUAUUGGGUUGCUGCUUCUAGUUUGUUAGGAAAGAAAAUGGCUCGUUGGGUUUUAUCUAGAGUUUUAUCUGAAUAGAUCGGAGCUUCUUCUUUUUUUUUUUUUGUAAUUUUUAUUUUCUCAUUUUAUUGGCAACUAUCGGUCGGAUGUGAGCUGCUAUUGUACC